UGUUCUAUACACCAAAACUGCUUCAUUAAGCUAAAGUUGUUCAGGUGACUAUAGUGUUCCUUUAAAUAAUGUUAUUAGUGAAUUUCUUUUUAUAUACUGUAAGUCUGAUUCUUUUUAUAAUGAUGAAUUUUUUGAUGCCUUUCAUUUAUACAUGUGUAUUUCAAGUUUGUAUUUAUUUAUAUAUUUUAACGUUACUUCUGCACACUCCUCCUUCUGAUAUAAUCUCUAUGCCGAUACCCCGGUAAUGGAGCAUUUAGCCAAUGGGAGAAGAUGUUAUCCGAUGCCGGGUGUAUGGAACACAUAUGCGUUCCAUUGCCGUAAGGGUAAUAUUACAUCAUAUCCGCCCAUUGCCGAAAACGAGUCUUGGAACACAAAAUUCCAGAAGGAGAUGCAGUAUACGGAAGGCAACCUUUAUUUUUUUACAGGUGGAUGCUAUUAAGUGAGAACUGAUUUUUUUCCUGAUUGGCUAGUGAGCCAUUAGGACAUUUCAAGCGGGCUAUUUAAACAACAUAUGAAGAGACAACUGGAGGACAACAGCCUGAUACCUCUGACGAAGUCUCUGGACAAAACGCGUAGGGUGGCAAGAGUGCUUUUAUAUUGCUGGUUUUUUU